GGAGGAACACGGAACUGGGAACACACGGCUGGAAUGAACACGGGAAGACGGGCAAGGAUGACGUACAUCUCACUUCCACCAGAGGGCUGUUGUUGUAUUGUAACACCUCUAGGUAAUAUACAUCAACAGACAAAAGAAAACAAUGCUCGUCAAAACACUUCAUGGUGACUUUAAGUUGAAGUCUGAACCAAGACCCAAGACCUUGUACCCAAGACCAUGUGGCCCGACCCAACCACCACAGUUUUAAGCACAAACCCUACCCAACCCCAAAAUUGCUCACUGUCUUUAUAAUUUUUUUCUCCAAGCAAGUAAAUUUGUUGCAAUAUGCUGUAUUAUAUUUAAGCUGUGUAGACAACAUUUGUAAUAGUAUAGUAACAGUAAACAUACACAGUUUUAACAAGACAUGACAGCUUCUUAGCACACCACAGUAAAGGGGAAAAAACAUUAGCUGUACCCCAAAUGACACACUAUGCACUGUGCACUUACACUGUACACUAUGCAAUCUGCAAUCUAGUUUAUUAAUUUUCAAAGUGUAGUAUUGUCCCGAAUGGAAAAAAUUUUUUUACUACAUG